GUGGGGAAUAUUGGACAAUGGGCGAAAGCCUGAUCCAGCCAUGCCGCGUGUGUGAAGAAGGUCUUCGGAUUGUAAAGCACUUUAAGUUGGGAGGAAGGGCAGUAAGUUAAUACCUUGCUGUUUUGACGUUACCGACAGAAUAAGCACCGGCUAACUUCGUGCCAGCAGCCGCGGUAAUACGAAGGGUGCAAGCGUUAAUCGGAAUUACUGGGCGUAAAGCGCGCGUAGGUGGUUUUGUAAGUUGGAGGUGAAAUCCCCGGGCUCAACCUGGGAACUGCAUCCAAAACUGCAUGACUAGAGUACGGUAGAGAGUAGUGGAAUUUCCUGUGGAGCGGUGAAAUGCGUAGAUAUAGGACGGAACACCAGUGGCGAAGGCGACUACCUGGACUGAUACUGACACUGAGGUGCGAAAGCGUGGGGAGCAAACAGGAUUAGAUACCCGAGUAGUCC
rnacentral:rRNA from 1 species